rnacentral:rRNA from 1 species
UUAUUGGAUCAUACCCGUUAAAUGGAUAACUGUAAUAACUCUAGAGCUAAUACAUGCCACAAUGCCCUGACCCGUUUCAACCGGGGAUGGGUGCACUUAUUAGAUCAGAAGCCAACCGCGCAUGGCCGUAAGGCCGUGCGUGUUGACCUUCUGGUGACUCUGGAUAAUUGUUACAGAUCGCAGUCGGCUUUAAGCCGGCGACGGGUCCUUCAAAUGUCUGCCCUAUCAACUUUCGAUGGUAGGUGACCUGCCUACCAUGGUGAUAACGGGUAACGGGGAAUCAGGGUUCGAUUCCGGAGAGGGAGCCUGAGAAACGGCUACCACUUCCAAGGGGGGCAGCAGGCGCGCAAAUUACCCACUCCCGGUACGGGGAGGUGGUGACGAAAAAUACCGAUGCGGGACUCUCAACGAGGCUCAAUAAUCAAUGAGUGAACUUUAAAUCCUUUCACGAGGAUCAAUUGGAGGGCAAGUCUGGUGCCAGCAGCCGCGGUAACUCCAGCUCCAAUAGCGUAUAUUAAAGUUGCUGCAGUUAAAAAGCUCGUAGUUGGAUCUCGGUACCACUGUUGCUCGUCAGUCCUCUGGCAGGUGGUUGUGCGCGCAUGGGUACGUAUUGUGCGGCCUGUGUUGCUGCUAUGGCUGCUCUGCCCGAGUUGGCGGUGUAACGGUGUCGCCUUUCAGCCAUG